rnacentral:rRNA from 1 species
GACGAACGCUGGCGGCGUGCUUAACACAUGCAAGUCGUACGGAAAGGCCCUUCGGGGUACUCGAGUGGCGAACGGGUGAGUAACACGUGGGUGAUCUGCCCUGCACUUUGGGAUAAGCCUGGGAAACUGGGUCUAAUACCGGAUAGGACCACGGCAUUCAUGUGCUGUGGUGGAAAGCUUUUGCGGUGUGGGAUGGGCCCGCGGCCUAUCAGCUUGUUGGUGGGGUAAUGGCCUACCAAGGCGACGACGGGUAGCCGGCCUGAGAGGGUGACCGGCCACACUGGGACUGAGAUACGGCCCAGACUCCUACGGGAGGCAGCAGUGGGGAAUAUUGCACAAUGGGCGCAAGCCUGAUGCAGCGACGCCGCGUGAGGGAUGACGGCCUUCGGGUUGUAAAUCUCUUUCGCCAGGGACGAAGCGCAAGUGACGGUACCUGGAGAAGAAGGACCGGCCAACUACGUG